rnacentral:rRNA from 1 species
UCGCAAGGCUGANACUCAAAGGAAUUGACGGGGGCCCGCACAAGCGGUGGAGCAUGUGGUUUAAUUCGAUGCAACGCGAAGAACCUUACCAAGGCUUGACAUACUACAGAUCUCUUUGAAAAAGGAAAGUGCCUUCGGGAAUGUAGAUACAGGUGGAGCAUGGCUGUCGUCAGCUCGUGUCGUGAGAUGUUGGGUUAAGUCCCGCAACGAGCGCAACCCUUAUUUUUAGUUGCUAAUUUAGUUUAGGUUUUCUAGAAAGACUGCCGGUGACAAACCGGAGGAAGGUGAGGAUGACGUCAAGUCAGCAUGCCCCUUAUGCCUUGGGCUACACACGUGCUACAAUGGUUAAGACAAAGAGUUGCGAGCUCGCGAGAGUCAGCUAAUCUCAUAAACUUAGCCUAAGUUCGGAUUGUAGGCUGCAACUCGCCUGCAUGAAGUCGGAAUCGCUAGUAAUCGCUGGUCAGCCAUACAGCGGUGAAUCCGUUCCCGGGCCUUGUACACACCGCCCGUCACACCAUGGGAGCUGGUCAUGCCCGAAACCGUUAGCUUAACCUUUAUGAGAGCGGCGUCUAAGGUAGGGUUAGUGACUGGGGUG